rnacentral:rRNA from 1 species
CGCCUGCCCUGUGACAAAUGUUUAACGGCCGCGGUAUUUUGACCGUGCAAAGGUAGCGCAAUCACUUGUCUUUUAAAUGAAGACCUGUAUGAAUGGCAUAACGAGGGCUUAACUGUCUCCUUUUUCCAGUCAAUGAAAUUGAUCUUCCCGUGCAGAAGCGGGGAUAUAACCAUAAGACGAGAAGACCCUAUGGAGCUUUAGACACAAGACAGUUCUUGUUAAGUACUUCAAAAUAAAGAAACAAACUAAAGGAACCCUGCCCUGAUGUCUUUGGUUGGGGCGACCACGGGGAAACAAACAACCCCCAUGCGGACUGAGAAAACAGUUCUCACAACCAAGAGUUACAACUCUAACUAACAGAAAUUCUGACCUCAAGAUCCGGCAAUGCCGAUCAACGGACCGAGUUACCCUAGGGAUAACAGCGCAAUCCCCUUUUAGAGUCCAUAUCGACAAGGGGGUUUACGACCUCGAUGUUGGAUCAGGACAUCCUAAUGGUGCAGCAGCUAUUAAGGGUUCGUUUGUUCAACGAUUAAAGUCCU